rnacentral:lncRNA from 1 species
GGAUGUAUGCCUAAUGUUGCUACCUUUAACGUUAGAAUUCAAUUCUUAGUAAAUGUGGGGCUUGCUUGGGAAGCUAAUAAAUUGUUGCUGUUAAUGAAACAUAUUGGGAUAACUCCUGAUGAGGUUACCUACAAUUUAGUGAUCAAAGGCUUUUGCCGAGCAGAGAAUCUGAUGAAAUGUAUUGGGAUAACUCCUGAUGAGGUUACGUACAAUUUAGUGAUCAAAGGCUUUUGCCGAACAGAGAAUCUUGAUAUGGCAAAAAGAAUCUAUUCCGCUUUAUGUGGUGCAGGCUUCAAGCCA